rnacentral:rRNA from 1 species
GCUGGGCUGCGUGCUUACCAUGCAAGUCGAACGCUGAAGCCUGGUGCUUGCACCGGGUGGAUGAGUGGCGAACGGGUGAGUAACACGUGAGUAACCUGCCCCUGACUUCGGGAUAAGCCCGGGAAACUGGGUCUAAUACCGGAUACGACUGCCGGACGCAUGUCUGGUGGUGGAAAGUUUUUUCGGUUGGGGAUGGGCUCGCGGCCUAUCAGUUUGUUGGUGAGGUAAUGGCUCACCAAGACGACGACGGGUAGCCGGCCUGAGAGGGCGACCGGCCACACUGGGACUGAGACACGGCCCAGACUCCUACGGGAGGCAGCAGUGGGGAAUAUUGCACAAUGGGGGAAACCCUGAUGCAGCGACGCAGCGUGCGGGAUGACGGCCUUCGGGUUGUAAACCGCUUUCAGCAGGGAAGAAGCGCAAGUGACGGUACCUGCAGAAGAAGUACCGGCUAACUACGUGCCAGCAGCCGCGGUAAUACGUAGGGUACGAGCGUUGUCCGGAAUUAUUGGGCGUAAAGAGCUCGUAGGUGGUUGGUCACGUCUGCUGUGGAAACGCAACGCUUAACGUUGCGCGUGCAGUGGGUACGGGCUGACUAGAGUGCAGUAGGGGAGUCUGGAAUUCCUGGUGUAGCGGUGAAAUGCGCAGAUAUCAGGAGGAACACCGGUGGCGAAGGCGGGACUCUGGGCUGUAACUGACACUGAGGAGCGAAAGCAUGGGGAGCGAACAGGAUUAGAUACCCUGGUAGUCCAUGCCGUAAACGUUGGGCACUAGGUGUGGGGGGCAUUCCACGUUCUCCGCGCCGUAGCUAACGCAUUAAGUGCCCCGCCUGGGGAGUACGGUCGCAAGGCUAAAACUCAAAGGAAUUGACGGGGGCCCGCACAAGCGGCGGAGCAUGCGGAUUAAUUCGAUGCAACGCGAAGAACCUUACCAAGGCUUGACAUACACCGGACCGUCCUGGAAACAGGGUCCUCUUCUUUGAAGCUGGGUGUACAGGUGGUGCAUGGUUGUCGUCAGCUCGUGUCGUGAGAUGUUGGGUUAAGUCCCGCAACGAGCGCAACCCUCGUUCUAUGUUGCCAGCACGUGAUGGUGGGAACUCAUAGGAGACUGCCGGGGUCAACUCGGAGGAAGGUGGGGAUGACGUCAAAUCAUCAUGCCCUUUAUGUCUUGGGCUUCACGCAUGCUACAAUGGCUGGUACAGAGAGAGGCGAACCCGUGAGGGCAAGCGAAUCCCUUAAAGCCAGUCUCAGUUCGGAUCGUAGUCUGCAAUUCGACUACGUGAAGUCGGAGUCGCUAGUAAUCGCAGAUCAGCAACGCUGCGGUGAAUACGUUCCCGGGCCUUGUACACACCGCCCGUCAAGUCACGAAAGUCGGUAACACCCGAAGCUCGGUGGCCUAACCGUAAGGAGGGGGCCGUCUAAGGUGCACGGUCGA